GACGAACGCUGGCGGCGUGCCUAAUACAUGCAAGUCGAGCGAACGGACGAGAAGCUUGCUUCUCUGAUGUUAGCGGCGGACGGGUGAGUAACACGUGGAUAACCUACCUAUAAGACUGGGAUAACUUCGGGAAACCGGAGCUAAUACCGGAUAAUAUUUUGAACCGCAUGGUUCAAAAGUGAAAGACGGUCUUGCUGUCACUUAUAGAUGGAUCCGCGCUGCAUUAGCUAGUUGGUAAGGUAACGGCUUACCAAGGCAACGAUGCAUAGCCGACCUGAGAGGGUGAUCGGCCACACUGGAACUGAGACACGGUCCAGACUCCUACGGGAGGCAGCAGUAGGGAAUCUUCCGCAAUGGGCGAAAGCCUGACGGAGCAACGCCGCGUGAGUGAUGAAGGUCUUCGGAUCGUAAAACUCUGUUAUUAGGGAAGAACAUAUGUGUAAGUAACUGUGCACAUCUUGACGGUACCUAAUCAGAAAGCCACGGCUAACUACGUGCCAGCAGCCGCGGUAAUACGUAGGUGGCAAGCGUUAUCCGGAAUUAUUGGGCGUAAAGCGCGCGUAGGCGGUUUUUUAAGUCUGAUGUGAAAGCCCACGGCUCAACCGUGGAGGGUCAUUGGAAACUGGAAAACUUGAGUGCAGAAGAGGAAAGUGGAAUUCCAUGUGUAGCGGUGAAAUGCGCAGAGAUAUGGAGGAACACCAGUGGCGAAGGCGACUUUCUGGUCUGUAACUGACGCUGAUGUGCGAAAGCGUGGGGAUCAAACAGGAUUAGAUACCUUGGUAGUCCACGCCGUAAACGAUGAGUGCUAAGUGUUAGGGGGUUUCCGCCCCUUAGUGCUGCAGCUAACGCAUUAAGCACUCCGCCUGGGGAGUACGACCGCAAGGUUGAAACUCAAAGGAAUUGACGGGGACCCGCACAAGCGGUGGAGCAUGUGGUUUAAUUCGAAGCAACGCGGAGAACCUUACCAAAUCUUGACAUCCUUUGACAACUCUAGAGAUAGAGCCUUCCCCUUCGGGGGGCAAAGUGACAGGUGGUGCAUGGUUGUCGUCAGCUCGUGUCGUGAGAUGUUGGGUUAAGUCCCGCAACGAGCGCAACCCUUAAGCUUAGUUGCCAUCAUUAAGUUGGGCACUCUAAGUUGACUGCCGGUGACAAACCGGAGGAAGGUGGGGAUGACGUCAAAUCAUCAUGCCCCUUAUGAUUUGGGCUACACACGUGCUACAAUGGACAAUACAAAGGGCAGCGAAACCGCGAGGUCAAGCAAAUCCCAUAAAGUUGUUCUCAGUUCGGAUUGUAGUCUGCAACUCGACUACAUGAAGCUGGAAUCGCUAGUAAUCGUAGAUCAGCAUGCUACGGUGAAUACGUUCCCGGGUCU
rnacentral:rRNA from 1 species